rnacentral:rRNA from 1 species
UACAGAGGUCUCAAGCGUUGUUCGGAUUCAUUGGGCGUAAAGGGUGCGUAGGCGGCGCGGUAAGUCGGGUGUGAAAUCUUGGAGCUUAACUCCGAAACUGCAUUCGAUACUGCCGUGCUGGAGGACUGGAGAGGAGACUGGAAUUUACGGUGUAGCGGUGAAAUGCGUAGAUAUCGUAAGGAAGACCAGUGGCGAAGGCGGGUCUCUGGACAGUUCCUGACGCUG